rnacentral:lncRNA from 1 species
AUUAUAUGCACUUAGAGAUUUAUAAUGAAAUUGAUAAAUAGAAGAGUAUCAUAAGGUUUACUAUUCUUAAUACUUAAAAGGUCACUCUAGUUGAUGUAAAAAAAAGCGUCUCCAGUUUAGAACCAAGCUUAAUAUAGCACAAACAUUUAAUAACCCAUAUCUAAGCCAAAAACCAAAUAUUUAGUGAAGAACAACUUGAACUAGGUCAAGAGCAACUUCAUCUCCGGUGGUGAUCUUCUUGGCUGCUUCUUUCUCCGGCAAUCCCCAGUCAAAGAAAUAAAGCAAGUUCAAAAGUCCAAACUCAACAAUGACAAUCCCCAUCGCCAUCCCUGGACAGAUUCUCCGACCAGAACCAAACGGUGAAAGCUCAAAGUUUAGUCCCCUAUAAUCUAUUGAACUAUCUACAAACCUAUCGGGAUCAAACUCAUCAGGAUUUUUCCACACGUUCGGGUCACGUGCUAUCGCGUACGCAUUGAUCAAGAUCUGUGUCUUUUUGGGAAUAUCAUAGCCUUGGAUCUUGAUGUGAGACAUUGUCUCUCUCGGUAGCAAAAGUGGAGCUGCUGGGUGUAACCUAAAUAUCUCCUUCACCAUUAGCUUAAAGUAGUGAAGCUUGUUUAGAUCUUCUUCUGUGAGACUCUCUUUCUUGUCUCCAAGUGUUGUCCGAAUCUCAUCUUGUACUUUUUUCAUCACUCUAGAGUUUCUGAUCAACUCAGUCAUUGCCCAUAUCAUUGUUGAUGCGCUUGUGCUAACCCCUGCUAGAAAUAUAUCCUGACAUAACACAAAAUCAUGUUACACAUGAACGUCUUAAAUUGUAAUAAUAUUUAGAAUCGUUUGUACUAUUUUUUUAUAGUUUGCAAUACCAUAUACUUAUCCAGGUAAUAAUAUUUAGUUUUUUUUUAUAUUAUUACCGAUAUCAUUCCUUUGAGAUGAUCCGUGGUGAUCUUGCAAGAGUCUUGUCAUAUCAUCUUAAGUUCGACAUGGGGAGAUCAAUUGAGAAACUUUUGGUCUUUCUUACUGGCCCGUGAAUGGACUUCAGGGUGGAUUAUCAUUGACCAGCUGUCGGAAUUUUUUUUAAUGCACCCUUGUGAGUUCAUGUUGUGGCUUAGAAGCACGGACGGAGACAGUCAAAAGAGAGUGUUUUUUUGUGAUGUUUAUGGGGUCAUUCUUUCACAAAGAGGUAUGUACUACUAGCUGAUGUUUUUAUAAUUUACAAGUGAUGUUUUGAUGUAUUUGUAUUUUGCUUGCGGAGGUGAUCGGUUGAGUUAUAACGAUAGAAAAUUUAUUGAAGAGAUUAUUUUGUACAAUUUUUUAUUUAGUUGUAAGAGAUAUAACUUUAAAAUAUAUUGAUACAUCAUUAUUUUUUUCUACACUUUGUUUUAGAAAAUAAGAUUUUUACAAAAAAAAAUUUAGUUUUUGAUAUAGCUUUAAAUAUUUGACUAUUUUUCACACUGCGUAAAUCAUUAAUUGAAUUACCGUUUAAUCUUUACAUAUAUGAAUAAUGAUGACAACUUCACUAUCGAAACACUUGAAUCGAUUUACGCUUAUUCUUAUACAUUUUGACUGUUAAUAACCCUUUUAUGAUAAAAACACUUGUAAUGUUAUCUUAUGAUAUUUCCUUUUUUUUUUCCGAUGGCAUAUAACAUGAAAUAUAACCAACAUAAAGUUUUAUCUUACUAAAAGAAAUAUUUGAUAAGUUGACAAAAAAAAGAAAAGAAAUAUUUGAUAUACAAUAAAGACAUGCUUUAUUUAUGAAACACGCUCUUUUGAAGAUGGAAUCGGAACCGCUGCGAACGUAUAAAUACUAAACGCUCGAGUACUUCGUUCUACACCAAAAAGUUUAAAACUUUUCUCUCUCGCCUUCGAACCCAAUCUCAAGGUAAUUGAUUAGAGAAACUCAACGCCUAGGGUCCGAUCAAUAUAUCUCUUUUUUGUUUUUUGUUUUUUUAAUCUUAUGCUGUUUGUUUGCUAUUAGGGUUUCGUCUCGUGAUGUCUGGGCGAGAUAGAAUCAGCGAAUUGCCGGAUUGUUUGCCAACUCAAAUACUCUCAUACGUUUCGACAAAACAAUCGGUGGAGACAAGUGUUUUGUCCAAGAGAUGGGAGAAUCUGUAUCUAAGCGUUCCCGUUCUUGACUUAGACUGCUCUUCUGUUCCGUACGAUGCAGACCAAGUGUUCUUAAGCUUCAUUGACAAGCUUCUCGAGUUUAGCCCUGAGUCAAUCCUAUUUAAAGUCAAGGUUAAGUGCAGAGACACGAUGAUACGCGGGUUCAGGGAUCGGAUCGGUACAAUGAUUGACCGGGGGGCACAGCAUCUUGAUAUUGACAGCAGCAACUGUAUUUGUUAUAUAGAUGGGUUCAGAUAUUGGAUCGGUAACUAUUAUUUAGAGGAGGACAAUCUUCACUACUCUCCUUUUGACAUGAUGCCUAUGAAUCUCUUCACGAGCAAGACAUUGGUUACUUGAAGCUCACGUCUUCUGGUCUUAGGGAUCCUGCAGGUUUUGUUUACAUGCCUUGUCUUAAAUUCAUGCAUCUCGAACAAGUUGUAUGGGAUACGCAUCUGGACACGGUUAUCUCAGGGUGCCCUGUUCUUGAGGAGCUGACCUUGUUGAGGGAUCCGCAUGAUAAAUAUAAGGCUUUGCUAGUUAGGACUCAGAGCUUGAAGAGGUUUCGUCUGCUGCCGCUUAGGAACGGAUACGUCCGUUCGAGAGUGAAAUGCACGCUUGAGAUUGAUACUCCGGGGCUAGAGUAUAUGAGCCUAGGAGAUGAUCAUAUUGAUAGCAUUGUGGUAAAGAACCUGACUUCUUUGUUGGUGGUUGAGCUUGAUAUCAAGUUUGUUGCCGGGUUUGCCGUGCAUUUUGAUACUUGGAACUUGACAAAGAGAAGUGAAAUAAUCAGUGAUUUUCUCAAUGGGAUAUCGAGUGUAAGCCAUAUGAUCAUCAUCUCUGCCAAAACAGUGCAGGCCUUUGAUCAUUACUCAAAAGCAGGAAUGAUUCCAAAGUUCAACAACUUAUCCCGUUUAGAAGCAGUGUUUCAUAGCAAGUUAUUGCAGUUUCUAAUUCCAAAGUUCAACAACUUGUCCUGUUUACAAGCAGUGUUCCGUAGCUACUUGUUACAGUUUCUCCCAGCCUUUCUUGAGUGUUGCCCCAAUCUGAAACACCUACUCUUGGUAAAGCCAUCUUCUUCUUAUGUUUUUUUUUUAUGGAUAUGUGUAUUAUUGAAAACUCAGCAGGUUUUUUGUGUGUGUGUGUGUGUGUGUUUACAAAAGGUUGUUCAUUCAGGGAAGAUGGAUGAGGGAUUGAAACUCACAGAUGUGCCGCGGUGUGUGUCAUCAACUCUUGAGUGCGUUGAAAUACAAGAAAAACUUGAAUUGGAGGAAGGGAAGAUGAAAGCAACAAGUUACUUUCUUGGAAACUCAGCAGUGCUGAAGAAACUCAUUCUGAGCCCCACAGCUUAUGAUCCUCGAGAUGUUCUGGAAUCAGAGAUAUGGGAGAAGGUUAAUAAACUCAAAAAACGUUCUCCAGGAUGUGAAAUUAUCAUCCGAGCCAUGGAGGAGGAUUAACGUUAUCAUUUGAUUAAUCUUCUUCUUAGUUUUGUUUGGAUUACUUGACUAUUGCUGCUGAUGCAAGUUCCUUCAUAGUAGUCUUAGUUUUUUCAAAAAAAAAAAAGGUUCCUUCAUAGUCAGUUCUCUUUUCCUUUUUUCAAAAGUCCAAAUCUCAGUUUCUUGGGUGUCUUUUAGAUAAAAAUGAUGAUCUUGCAUUCCCUUAAGCUUGGUUUAUAUGUUUUAUACAUUUAAAUAUCCAAUAUAUUUUUAAAUACUUUUGAUAUAAAGAAAUCAAUCUUGAAUAUAUAGAAAAUCCAAAACCAAUCUUGAUAUAAAAUGACCUAAAGGGUAAAUCAACUUUUUCUUUCACUAGUGCAAGUUAAAUGUAUAUAUUAAUAUAAAAAACCUUUUUUUAUUACCAAGUGUUAAUUAUUCUAAAUUCAGUUUUAAACUUAUAUAGUUUAUUGUAAUCUUAUUGAGAAUUUAAUAAUCAGAUUUUGCAUAAAGACCUUGUUCUACGGGGUGUUAUUGGUUUACGUAUUUUAAUGGAUUUGAAAACUUAAACCAAAUUCAGUGUUAUUGGUUUUAUGAUUUUAAAACAAAUUUCAAAAUCUAGUAUUAUUCAAAAGCAAAGAUUUAUUUAAGGAUUUGAUUUGAAAUUGGAUUUUAGUGGAUUUAUGCAUGUUUUUAAAGUAAAAAUAUAAAGGAACAAAUAUUGAGUUCAACAUUGUUAUUUUGAUUGGAUUUGUAAUAUAUUUUUUCCAGUUCUUACGUUUGGACAAGUUUUCACGCUUUCUAUUUGUCAACCCCGUCAAUAUCCCAAAACCUAUGUAUUCAGUCAAUAUAUUAUUAUCAUGUUCAACAUUACCUUCUUCUCUCUGGGUAACAAAUGAAUUCUCAACUUGUUCAAUUUAUAAUCACCGGCAAUAGUUUAAAGUUUUGAUUUAUAUUCUCUUGUAUGUAAUUAACUAGCUUUGGACCUUCCUAACUAUUACCUUGUCACUUUCCAACUCUAACCAACAAAAAUUAGUAUAUUCAAACGAUUUCUCUGUCCCAAAACAUUUUUCCUCAUGAACUAGUAAGGUCAUUAUUUAGGUCUAGUUACAAUUCACCUAUUUUGAAUUAUUAAAAUACAUCAAAGUCUCGUCCCACUUAAUUGUAAUAGCCCGUUGCUUACUCGUAAUAACCCGUUGCUUACUCGAUUGGAUCCAUUUUAUUGAUCCAUUUUAUUGAUUCAAUCUAGUUACUUGCUCGAUUGAAUCCAUUUUAUUGAUAAUAACAAUUCACCUAUUUUGAUUUUGAAACUCAUAUAAAUUAUUUUUAAAUCCACUUGUUUGAUUUUUAAAAUCUUGGAUUUACCAAAGAUUUUUAAAUCUAAAGAUGAUUUGUAAAUCCAUUAAAAUACUAGAACCAAUAACCCCUACUACGUUUUCUACAAAUGUUGACUAAAAAGUUGACCUUGUCCUUCUAACUAAUUAUAAGUACUUAGAGAUUUAUAAUGAAAUUGAUAAAUAGAAGAUUAUCAUAAGGUUUACUAUUCUUUAUACUUAAAACUUAAAGGUGUCUCUAGUUCAGAAUCAAGCUUAAUAUAGCACAAACAUUUGAUAACCCAUAUCUAAGAAGUUGCCAAAAACCAAAUAUUUAGGGCAGAAUAACUUGAACGAGGUCAAGAGCAACUUCAUCUCCGGUGGUGAUCUUCUUGGCUGGUUCUUUCUCCGGCAAUCCCCAGUCGAAGAAAUAAAGCAAGUUUAAAAGUCCAAACUCAACAAUGACAAU